GUGAGGAAUAUUGGUCAAUGGGCGAGAGCCUGAACCAGCCAAGUCGCGUGAAGGAUGAAGGUUUUAUGAAUUGUAAACUUCUUUUGCAGGGGAAUAAAGUACGGUACGUGUACCGUUUUGUAUGUACUCUGCGAAUAAGGAUCGGCUAACUCCGUGCCAGCAGCCGCGGUAAUACGGAGGAUCCAAGCGUUAUCCGGAUUUAUUGGGUUUAAAGGGUGCGCAGGCGGGUUGAUAAGUCAGCGGUGAAAGUUUGCAGCUUAACUGUAAAAUUGCCGUUGAAACUGUCGAUCUUGAGUGCAAAUGAGGUAAGCGGAAUGUGUUGUGUAGCGGUGAAAUGCUUAGAUAUGGCACAGAACACCAAUUGCGAAGGCAGCUCACUAAGGCGAUACUGACGCUGAGGCACGAAAGCGUGGGGAUCGAACAGGAUUAGAUACCCCUGUAGUCC
rnacentral:rRNA from 1 species